GGGCAGUGGGUCUCAGUUUUGUGAAUUCCAUUGCACUGGCAGUAGAACUGAUUCUGAAAGCACGAAAUGGUGAGCGUACAGUGGAAGACCUGCGAGUUAUUCUCAUACCCUCUGAAAGUGUCUUUGCUAUAGGCUGUCUUAUGCUACAGAUAUCUGCAUUCUGGCGGACAAACAGAGAAAGGUUGAUGUAUGACCUGAAAGACUUGCGUCAGUUGUGCAGGUGUAAACAGGUGUCAGCGGACUCACCGGUACAGAAUCAUGAACUUCAGGCUCUACAGAACUCCAGAGGCUGAUUCUGCUCCUCAGGAAUUGGCGUCUUAGGAGGUAUUGAGGAAUUAUUGCUUCUUGUAUGCAGACCACGUACAUGAUGACAUGUAGGUUUGGAGCCAUCUGAGGGACACAGAUUAAUGUCUGCUCAAAGAAACUUUGUAUUUGAUACAUACAGAAAAUCCCAGCAGGCACUGGGCCAACCAAAGACACAGAAGCAAUUUCUUCUUGGACAUGAUUUCUUCUAGUGACAUGGAAGAAAAUAUGAACAGUUGCAUUCAGAGCAUUUUUGGUCUGAACUGUAAACUUUCCAUUCUGCUACCAUGCUGGUGCCACUGCUGUGUUGAGAAUCAUUCACCACCUGACCUGUGGUCAGAAACUGACCCAGUGCUCUGUGCUGUCACCAAGGGGGUAGAAAAAUAGUGCACAGGAUUAUGUGAAAUCUAUUUUGGUACGCUUUCUGUACGAUAAAUUUGCACAUAUUCAUCACUGUAAAAUGUAUAGUUAUUAUAUAGCAAUGUUUAAUGCAGAAACCUUUAAUUUGCUUUAUAAGAAGGCUUUGUUACAAAAAUGCUAAUUUCCACUGGUCCCCCUUUGGAAUUUGCAAGUAAUAUUGAAUGUUUACAUUUGAUGGCAGCUGUGUCUUAGCUGGUGAACUGAGGCUAGUAACAUAAACUGACUUUGUCAAUUUGCCAGCAGCACUGCUGUGUCUGAUCCACUUGUAACAAUACAACACACACUAACACACCACCACCACGUCAGUGUUACUGCAGUGCUGAGAAUGAUCC